UAAUCCGACCUAGGCUCAUCCAUCGACGCGAGGUCUUGCGACCCCCGCUUUCCUCCGUAGAGCGUAUGCGGUAUUAGCCCGGCUUUCGCCGGGUUAUCCCCCACAAAUGGGCAGAUUCCUACGUAUUACUCACCCGUCCGCCACUCGUCGCCAGGGUUGCCCCCGCGUUACCGUUCGACUUGCAUGUGUUAGGCAUGCCGCCAGCGUUCAAUCUGAGCCAGGAUCAAACUCU
rnacentral:rRNA from 1 species